GCAGUCGAGCGGUAGCACAGAGAGCUUGCUCUCGGGUGACGAGCGGCGGACGGGUGAGUAAUGUCUGGGAAACUGCCUGAUGGAGGGGGAUAACUACUGGAAACGGUAGCUAAUACCGCAUAACGUCGCAAGACCAAAGUGGGGGACCUUCGGGCCUCAUGCCAUCAGAUGUGCCCAGAUGGGAUUAGCUGGUAGGUGGGGUAACGGCUCACCUAGGCGACGAUCCCUAGCUGGUCUGAGAGGAUGACCAGCCACACUGGAACUGAGACACGGUCCAGACUCCUACGGGAGGCAGCAGUGGGGAAUAUUGCACAAUGGGCGCAAGCCUGAUGCAGCCAUGCCGCGUGUGUGAAGAAGGCCUUCGGGUUGUAAAGCACUUUCAGCGGGGAGGAAGGCGGUGAGGUUAAUAACCUUGUCGAUUGACGUUACCCGCAGAAGAAGCACCGGCUAACUCCGUGCCAGCAGCCGCGGUAAUACGGAGGGUGCAAGCGUUAAUCGGAAUUACUGGGCGUAAAGCGCACGCAGGCGGUCUGUCAAGUCGGAUGUGAAAUCCCCGGGCUCAACCUGGGAACUGCAUUCGAAACUGGCAGGCUAGAGUCUUGUAGAGGGGGGUAGAAUUCCAGGUGUAGCGGUGAAAUGCGUAGAGAUCUGGAGGAAUACCGGUGGCGAAGGCGGCCCCCUGGACAAAGACUGACGCUCAGGUGCGAAAGCGUGGGGAGCAAACAGGAUUAGAUACCCUGGUAGUCCACGCUGUAAACGAUGUCGAUUUGGAGGUUGUGCCCUUGAGGCGUGGCUUCCGGAGCUAACGCGUUAAAUCGACCGCCUGGGGAGUACGGCCGCAAGGUUAAAACUCAAAUGAAUUGACGGGGGCCCGCACAAGCGGUGGAGCAUGUGGUUUAAUUCGAUGCAACGCGAAGAACCUUACCUGGUCUUGACAUCCACAGAACUUUCCAGAGAUGGAUUGGUGCCUUCGGGAACUGUGAGACAGGUGCUGCAUGGCUGUCGUCAGCUCGUGUUGUGAAAUGUUGGGUUAAGUCCCGCAACGAGCGCAACCCUUAUCCUUUGUUGCCAGCGGUUAGGCCGGGAACUCAAAGGAGACUGCCAGUGAUAAACUGGAGGAAGGUGGGGAUGACGUCAAGUCAUCAUGGCCCUUACGACCAGGGCUACACACGUGCUACAAUGGCAUAUACAAAGAGAAGCGACCUCGCGAGAGCAAGCGGACCUCAUAAAGUAUGUCGUAGUCCGGAUUGGAGUCUGCAACUCGACUCCAUGAAGUCGGAAUCGCUAGUAAUCGUAGAUCAGAAUGCUACGGUGAAUACGUUCCCGGGCCUUGUACACACCGCCCGUCACACCAUGGGAGUGGGUUGCAAAAGAAGUAGGUAGCUUAACCUUCGGGAGGGCGCUACC
rnacentral:rRNA from 1 species